rnacentral:rRNA from 1 species
AUACGGAGGAUGCGAGCGUUAUCCGGAAUUAUUGGGCGUAAAGCGCGCGCAGGCGGUCCUUUAAGUCUGAUGUGAAAGCCCACGGCUCAACCGUGGAGGGUCAUUGGAAACUGGGGGACUUGAGUGCAGAAGAGGAAAGUGGAAUUCCAAGUGUAGCGGUGAAAUGCGUAGAGAUUUGGAGGAACACCAGUGGCGAAGGCGACUUUCUGGUCUGUAACUGACGCUGAGGCGCGAAAGCGUGGGGAGCAAACAGGAUUAGAUACCCUGGUAGUCCACGCCGUAAACGAUGAGUGCUAAGUGUUAGGGGGUUUCCGCCCCUUAGUGCUGCAGCUAACGCAUUAAGCACUCCGCCUGGGGAGUACGGUCGCAAGACUGAAACUCAAAGGAAUUGACGGGG